AUGGAAAUUUUGAUUAAUUCCAUUACGUUACAGUUUAAAAUCCUGACUCUGGAGGGAGGACAAGAUGGCGGAGGAGUAGGGGGACAUGCUCGCCCUCUCCCACAAACACAACAAAAAAAGCACAUCUACAGAAUAAAUGACGCGCACAGAACAGCAACCAAUCGCUGGCAGAGGAACCUAAACUCCAAUAACGGCAAGAAAUUCGUGACAUUAUUGGGCAGAAUGGGAGAAAAGAGGAGAGUGAGAGAAGGUGAAUCCGAGCGGGACGGGCACUCCCGAAAGGGAACUGUGGAGGAGAAAGGGAUCCCGCACCCUGGAAAGUCACCUACCAGAGGAAAGAUCAAACAAACCGGAGGAAUCUCCAGAUGCAGAGAAGAGUGUAGCAGUAAGUUGGAGUACGGAAAAGCCGAUCAAGAACCCAACGGACCAUCUGAACUACGGGCACAGUCACCAAAAAUUGAGACGCCUGGGUGGGGGCUGGGCACCGAGUCCUCGGCUCCAGAGCCCAGCCGCAGCCCCAGCCAGAAGACUGCAGGGAGCUCCAGCCUCGAGUUCCGGACCCCUGGGGGCAGCUCCUGCUUUCAGAAGUUGUGGCGGAAGGGACUCUGUACUGCUCUUCAGCGACGCCCUGGACAUGAGCUCUCCCGGGCACAGAUUGAGCCGUCCAGCAAGGUUAAGAAGCCAGCUGGAGGAAGAGUCAACAGCCCUCAAGUUUGACACUUGUCACUCUUGUUUUUCUACGUUGGGAUUUAACAAGAGGAUUCAAGAAGAGAACCACUCGUCAAGCCGUCAUCUGGUCACUGGCUGCUCUGUUGAUGCUUUCAGCCAGACUCUAGGAUAUCAGCGGAGAUUUGGUUUUGGCAAAAACAAAAAAUUUUUAUAGUCCCUGCUAGAAAUUCCUUAUCCAGAAGGGCAUCAAAGCCAGGGGGCCUUCAGAGUAAGGGAUAAAUCCACUCCAGGCUGGUGGGAGGGUCCCCUUAGCCAUUUUGCCCCUCACCUGAGGAGGAGGGCAGGUGAGGGGAGACUGGUUUCCACUGGAAACAGAGAAAGUCCCUAUGGACAAAGAUUGUCACCUGCCACUUCAGGAAACAAAGGAUGCUGCAGCCGGAGUUCCCAUCGUGGCUCAGUGGUUAAUGAAUCUGACUAGGAACCAUGAGGUUGCAGGUUCGAUCCCUGGCCUCACUCAGUGGGUUAAGGAUCCAGCGUGAGCUGUGGUGUUAGGUCGCAGACACGGCUUGGAUCUGGUGUUGCUGUGGCACUGGUGUAGGCCAAUGGCUACAGCUCCGAUUAGACCCCUAGCCUGGGAACCUCCAUGUGUCGUCACAGGUGUGGCCCUGGAAAAGACAAAAAAAAAAAAAAAAAAAAAGAUGCUGCAGCCAUCAAGCCCACAGCUACUGUAGCUGCCAUGGACUGUGAACCCUGAAGGUACUCAGGAUGGAGAAAACAGGACACUGGCCUGUCACGAGACAUGUUUCUACAACAUUUUCUUAACCUCUUUGCUGAAAACCGCAUCUUGUCCUGCUUUACUUGACCCCGUCUUCCUGCUUGAAAACAGUCUCCUACUGGUAAAUGACUUAAGCUUAAGAACAAAGACCUAAAGGCAUGAGUUAUUCAUAGGGUCAGCUGAAUGAGGACUUAAUGCAUUGGUCUAGGCACAUCCAGACCUGUGCAGAUUGGCAUUCCUUUUGCACAGCAGGAUAUGUUCUCUAAAGAAUAAGAGAAGGAGGAAUUUCAUGGCCAAGUGCUUUAUAAGUGGUCAUUAGCAGCAUAUGCAUCAGCAAAGAGAACCAAGGUGCAAACCUAGGCACACUGGGUUGCCACAAAUAGGCAUGCUGUUUGCCGAAGCCCAGUGAGGAUUCUCUGGAAAGCUCUGCAUAGAUCGCCAACUCAAAUGCUAAUGACUGUUAUGUGCCUAACAGUCAGAGUAAAAGCUUAACCUUUUACCAGCAAGUGGCUUUUAAAGUAAUAAAAGAUCUUAUACAAUAGUAAACAAACCCUAUAUCCUCCACCCAUAGCCCCUCCUCACUUGACUUAAUCCUCAAGAGCACAAUAAAAGCAGUGUGGUUUCUUGAGGCAGGGCUCUUGGUCCCUGAGACCUUGAGUCGCCCGGUUGCCACCUUUACUUAAGAUAAAUGUCUCUGUGUUUUGUUUUAUGUUAACUUUUUCCUUAAGUUUCACAGCAUCCAUUCUUCAGCCCCAUCCUGCUGAGCCUGUCUUGACACUGGCCCUGGAUAGUUAAGGUGCAUCUCAAAGAAACACGUUCAGUGAGCCCAGACUCUUGCAUCCUCUCUUACAGAGAAAGGCACAGAAAUCAUGAACUUGAAAUGUCUAGUUUCCUUGUGAUUAGCAGUCAUCUUUUUAUGUUUGACUACAUCCUCCCCUGCCCACCCUCCCCCCAACAAAAACUCAUCUAUGUCCUGAUUCCUCCCCCUCCUCUUUGGAGCCAUUCCUCAGACCUACCUGAGAGGCUGUCUCCCAGGCUAGGGACCUUAGUACGUGCCCUGAAUAACACAUGACUCAACUUUGAGGUUGUGCUUUGCUCCCCAACCCCCUCCCCCCAGCUGACCUCACCGGAAGGUGGAGGAUCAGACUACUACUGCUCCUCAAACUGGGCCCACAGCAUCACCUGGGAGCUGGCCGGAAAUACAUAUCACCAGGUCCACCCCCAAAUCCACAGAAUCUGAGGAUGGGGUCCAGGAAUUAAAGUUCACGUGCCUUCUUCCCUCCAGGUGAUUCUCAUACACAACCUCAAGAAUAAGCAGUCCAGGCAUCUCUGUAGCAACUCCAGUAAAACAGAGGAAUUCAACCCAUCCCCACCCCAUCCUUGGGUGACGCAUGGUUUUGCUCCAUGGGAAUGGAAUUCUGCUGCCCAUAUAGGCAAGGCAAGUUCACCAACGAGGUGCAUCCUAUACAGGAAGAACAUGCUCAUAAGAAGGGAUGCUGUAUCAACAUCUAGUUAUGACAAAAAAAAAAAAAAAAACUCUCCAGAAUGUGGCCACAGAGGGAACUCACCUCAACAUAAUUAAGGCCAUAGAUGACAAACCCACAGCUAACAUCAUAUUCAACAGUGAAACGCUGAAACCAUUCCCAGAAACAAGACAAGGAUGCCCACACUCACCACUUUUAUUCAACAUCGUUUUGGAAGUCCUAGCCACAGCAGCAAGAGAAAGAAAAAGGAGUCCAGGUUGGAAAGGAAGAAGUAAAACUGUCACGGUAUCCUGAUGACAUGCCUAGAAGAUGCUAAAGAUGCCACGAGAAAACUGUUAGAGCUCAUCAAUGAAAUCAGUAAAGUUGCAGGAUACAAAAUUCAUACACAGAAAUCUCUUGCAUUUCUAGACACUAACAGUGCAAUAUCCAAAAGAGAAAUUAAGGAAAUAAUCCCAUUUACUGUUGCAUCCAAGAAAAUAAAAUACCUAGAAAGUAAACCUCUCUAAAAAGGCAAAAGACUUGUACUCUGAAAACUGUAAGAUGCCAGUACAAGAAAUUGAAGCUAACACAGACAGAUGGAAAGAUACACCAUGUUUUAGGUUGGAAGAAUCAAUAUUGUUAAAAGGACCAUUACUACCCACAGCAAUGUACAGACUCAGUGCAAUCCCUAUCAUAUUACCAAUGGCAUUUUUCGCAGAACUAGAACAAAACAAUUUUGAAUUUGUGUGGAAACACAAAAGACCCCAAAUAGCCAAAACAAUCUUGAGAAAGAAGAGCUGGAGGAAUUAGGCUCCCUGACUUCAAACUAUACUACAAAGCUAUAGCAAUAAAAACAGUAUGGUACUGACACAAAAAACAGAAAUAUUGAAUAAUAGAAUAAGAUAGAAAGCCUAGAAAGAAACCCAUGCACCUAUGGUCAAUUAAUUUAUGACAAAGGAGGCAAGAAUACACAAUGGAAAGAAUACAGCCUCUUCAAAGUUGUGGUUCUAGGGAAACUGGAUAGCUACACGUAAAAGGAUAUAAUUAAGAACAUUCUAAGAGUGUCCACUGUGAUGCAACAGGAUUGGUGUCAUCUCUGGAGUGCUGAGACACAGGUUUGACCUCAGGCCUGGCACAGUGGAUUAAGGAUCCAGCAUUGCCACAGGUGCAGCAUAGGUCACAACUGUGGCUUGGAUCCAAACCCUGGCCGGGAAAUUCCCUAUGCUGUGGGGUGGCCAAAAAAGAAAAAACAAACCAACAAGAACAUUCUGUAACACCAUGUACAAAAAUAAACACACAAUCAAAGACUGAAAUGUAAGAUUGGAUGCUAUAAAACUCCUCAAGGAGAACAUUGGUGGAACACUGACAUAAAUCGCAGCAGUAUAUUUUUGGAUCCACCAUUCCUCUCGUGAUGAAAUAAAAGCAAACAUUUUUUUAAAAUGGGACCUAAUUAAACUUAAAAGCUUUUAUAUAGCAAAGGAAACCAUAAACAGAAUGAAAAGAUAACCUAGAGAAAGUGAGAAAGUAUUUGCAAAUGAAGCAACCAACAAAAGAUCAAUCUUCAAAAUGUACACAUCAGCUCAUACAGCUCUGUAUUGAAAAAAACAAUCAGAGUUCCCUGGUGGCUCAGUGAGUUAAGGAUCUGGCAUUGUCACUGAUAGGACUUGGGUUCAGUCCCUGGCCUGGGAAUGUCCACAUGCUGCAGGCACAACCAAAAAGAAGAAGAAAACAACUCAAAUUAAAAAAAAAUGAGCAGAAGACCUAAAAAAAAAAUUCUCCAAAGAAGACAUACAGAUGGCCAAUGGGCACAUGAAAAGAUGCUCAGCAUCACUGAUUAUUAAAGAAAUGCAAAUCAAAACUACUAUGAGGUACCUCACACCAGUCAGAAUGGCCUUCAUCAAAAAGUCCACAGAUAACAAAUGUCAGAGAAGGUGUGGAGAAAAGGGAACCCUCCUUGAAUCUUGGUGUGAAUGGAAAUUGGUGCAGCCACGAUGGAAAACAGUAUGGAGGUGCCUCAGCAAAUUAAAAAUAAAAUUAUGAUAUGAUCCAGCAAUCCCACUCCUGGGCAUAUAUAAGGACUAAACUCUAAUUCAAAAAGAUACAUACACCCCAAUGUUCAGAGCAGCACCAUUCACAAUAGCCAAGAUGUGGGAACAACCUAAAUGUCCAUGGACAGAGGAAUGGAUAAAGAUGUGGUACAUAUAUACAGUGGAAUAUUACUCAGCCAUUAAAAAUAAUGAAAUACUGCCAUUUGCAGCAGCAUGGGUGGACCUAGAGAGUCUCAUACUAAGGGACGUCAAAGACAAGUAUUAUAUGCUAUUACUUCUAUGUGGAAUAUAAAAUAUGAUACAAAUAUGAAGUGAGUUACAAAACAGAAAUAAAAUCAUAGAAAACAGUUAUGGUUACAAAAGGGGAAAUGGGGGAGGGGAUAGAUUAGGAGUUUGGGAUUAGCAUAUACAUACUAUUAUAUCUAUAACAGACAAGCAAUAAGGACCUACUGUACUGCACAGAGAACUAUCUUCAAUAUCUUGUAAUAAUCUAGAUGGAAAAUCAUCUAGAACAGAGCAGACAUAUGUAUAACUGUACUUUGCUGUACUUCUGAAACUAACAUAACACUGUAAAUUACCUCUGCUUCAAUAAUAAAAAAAAGGUGUUUUACAUUAUCCAUCUAAGAACUGACGUUAAAAAAGAUGGAACACUUGAGGCUGCUUUCAGAUUUAAUCUUCAGUUAUACGAUUUCUGUUCAAAAAGAGUCACAGUGCC
rnacentral:lncRNA from 9 species